rnacentral:rRNA from 1 species
UACGAACUGUGCGAACGUUAUUCGGAAUCACUGGGCUUCAAGGGUGCGUAGGCGGUUAUCUAAGUCAGGUGUGAAAUCUCUCGGCUCAACCGGGAAACUGCGCUUGAAACUGGAUGGCUAGAGUGAUGCAGGGGUGUGUGGAACUUCCGGUGGAGCGGUGAAAUGUGUAGAUAUCGGAAGGAACGCCAGCAGCGAAAGCGGCACACUGGGCAUUUUCUGACGCUGAGGCACGAAAGCGAGGGGAGUGAACGGG